CGACCCUCAAGCACAGCUUGGUGUUGGGCACGGUCCUGCGGGACCCGCCCGCAACUCGUAGGCGGCCGCCGCCCGCGCCCCCAGCGUAGCAAGCUCACGCGUUCGCUCGGGGACGGCGCGUCUGGCCCGCCGGCAAAUUUUUCCAAG
rnacentral:misc_RNA from 1 species